UUGAAUACUUGGCAAAACAAUUAAUUUCUUAAGCCAAACUAUUGUAUAUUUGCAAUGUUUAAUUUAAUUAUUAUUCUAAUACUAUUAUUUGAAAAUUCUCGAAAUGGAAACAGUAUAAAUGUAUUUCCCUUAAAUUAUCAAUCGAUAUUAUUACCACCGAUCUCGUUAAAAGAACAUUUUAUUAUAGUGGCGAAAUAUUUUUAUGAUAGACAGAAAUGGAAGACUUCACAUUUAGGAGAUGUCAUCUUUAAAAACUAUAAUCAAGACGUAUUUGAAAAGAAAAAUAGAACCUAUGAGAUAUUAGUGUGGAAACACUGGGAUUGGCUCAAAAAACGACAUGUUUAUAACUUUGGGCGUACAAAUGACAGUCAAGAUAUAUUUACCGAUUGCAGUGUUAGUAAUUGCAUAUUUACAGGAAAUGACAGCACAAUAAACACGGUUGACAUUGUGAUUGUGCAUCUCAUGAAAAGGAUCUUCCCCGUGGUCGAGAAACGGAAUAAAAAACAGAUCUGGGUUUUCCUCAAUGACGAGGCACCCACAAACGCUUUCCAAAAAACCAAAAGCCUGCCAAUGUUAGAGAAAUUGGCGAACAUUUUCAACUGGUCCAUGACAUACAGAACUGACUCCGACGUCCCCGUGCCAUACGGUCGUACUGUGCCAUUAAAAAGGCCCAAAUCUUUCAUAAUCACACACGAAAGUAUUGCGGAAUUGAUACCGUACUUAGAUGCGGGCGACAUAGGGCGGCAAAGAACGCAAAUUUGCCUACGAAUAACAUUUUACCAGUUUUCUGAGAAACAUCUGGGAACAAGCAAAUAGCACGUACAAAGUAAGCUUUAUAAAUAAUAGCUAUGCUCUCUUUGAUAAAAGACUUUAUUAAGACUUUAAAAUUAUUGGGACGCCUGAUCUAGUUUGGUAUAUUAUAUCUAUAUUACAUUCUAUCUGCUUAAUGUUCUAUAUGUCCAUCAAUACUGCUGGUUACCUUUUUACGGAGAUCGUGGCGCAUCGAAGAACAUUGCUGGCUUUUCCUUGCUUGAUACGAAAAUUGCCGUCGAUUACCCGUGAUCGUUGCCGUUAAUGUAUAGUGUCAAAAUAUUUAUAACCGUAUACUCGAGCUACUUAGAUUAGUCUAAUCUAGAUCCACGGAUUUAUAUUUUUUUUGUCUAAUCAUUGGACUAAUAAUAAUAAUUCUAUUGUGUAGCGUGCCUCAAACCGCUUGUGGAAACGAAUUUAAUUAACUUUCUUAUGAAUUAUUCCCCUCCAUAGCGGUGAGAAGUUCGCAAAUCCCCAGUUUAAUUAUAUAAAAGUUUGCUGAAACAGAUUUUACUGAAAAUACAGGUUUUAUUAUUUGCAUAAUUAAUUAUUAUGUUUGAUGUACCUAUAUAGAUUUGUAUUGUUUUUUCUAUCAGUAGUUACCUCACAGCAUUUUGGCAUCUAAUGUUUAAAAUUUAUUAAAUAAUACUGCUCUUAAACAUGGC